ensembl:lncRNA
UCGAUUUUAAUAAUUGGGUUGUAUACACAAGUCCGUGAAUGUGUCUCUCCUAACAGCUGGUUUUAUUCAUUUGCUAUUCAACAGCACACGAAAAAUGGCUUUCAGAAUUGAUUUACUCGGAUCGUUACAUGAACGGUUACACUUUACGAGUACAAAACGCGAGCCUCCAUCUGGCUCCAUGUACAAAACUGACACACGCCGAAGGAUAAUGAGAGCUUCACAAGUUCAGAUGUUUCACUGCCAUUAGUUGGGGCGGUUUAUGAGCCGUAUUGUGCAGGAUGACUGCCCCCUGCUGGUGAGCACUGUAUUGCACGAAGUCAGCAAGGGACACGAGAGAAUACAAGUUACCGGCAUCCUGAUGGACGCGGCUUGCCGUCACGAGAACAAAAAAAAAUUAAAAACACAUUUUUGGUCACAUUAUGUUAUUUGUAAGUGUACAAUGACCUCACGUGAGUGAUCUCACACAGCAUCACAGUAAAUGAACGCCUGAGAAGAACAAAAAAAAAGAAGUAAAAGUAGGCAAUCGAAUAACUAUCCGUGUGAUCAGCCCCCUGGAGCGCAUUAGAACACCCAUGUUCCAGUCAGAACCGCCUGGGUCCAGUUAGAACCGUCUGGGUCCAGUCAGAACUGCCUGGGUCCAGUCAGAACCGCCUGGGUCCAGUCAGAACCGCCUCGGUCCAGUCAGAACCGCCUCGGUCCAGUCAGAACCGCCUCGGUCCGGUCAGUCGGGCUCAGCGUCCAGAACCAGUGCGGGGAACUUCUCCCCCCCCUCGGCCAGGAGGGAGUACAGGUCCCGGAGCACGCUGGGGUCCGCCGGCCCCGGGCCCCCCAGCAGGGAGCCCAGCAGGGGGGAGAGGCUGUCCGACAGGGCCUGGAGCCGGGGGGGGACGACGACACAUCAACCGGGGGCAAAGAAGGAGCUCACCAUGUUGGGCCGAUGUCGUAGGUUAGCAUGUAAUAGGUUAGCCUGAUGGCUCACACAUUAGGAUGUUAUUUUCUUGUUUUUAUAGGACCAAGAACGACUUAAAAGGUAGAAUAUGUAAGAUUUCUGCAUUCAAAUGUGUACGACUAGACUUAUGUUACACAUUCUAUUUUCUUGUGUACUAACAUAAUCGCAAGAUGUUUUUAUUCAGUUAAAAACACAAACAACGUCGGCGCGUGACCCUGACGGAGGCCCCCGCCCUCACCUGCUGCAGGUGCACCUCCUGCUGCAGCAGCAGCACCCGCAGCCUCAGCGUCUCCAGCUCCACCAGCUCCGUCUCCGUGGCGACGGUGAGGACGGGGGGCAGGAGGAGGAGGAGGAGGGGCCCCCCCCGACCCCCCCGCUCGCCUGGGCAGAGGCAACCCCCCUCGGGCCUCCAUCCGUCC